rnacentral:tRNA from 2 species
GGCUCUGUAGUUCAAUGGAUAGAAUAUAAGUUUCCGGAACUUAGGAUGCAGGUUCGAUUCCUGCCAGGGCUA